UACGAAGGGGGCUAGCGUUGCUCGGAAUCACUGGGCGUAAAGCGCACGUAGGCGGAUCGCUAAGUCAGGGGUGAAAUCCUGGAGCUCAACUCCAGAACUGCCUUUGAUACUGGCAAUCUCGAGUCCGGGAGAGGUGAGUGGAACUGCGAGUGUAGAGGUGAAAUUCGUAGAUAUUCGCAAGAACACCAGUGGCGAAGGCGGCUCACUGGCCCGAUACUGACGCUGAGGUGCGAAAGCGUGGGGAGCAAACAGG
rnacentral:rRNA from 1 species